rnacentral:rRNA from 1 species
UACGGAGGGAGCUAGCGUUGUUCGGAAAUACUGGGCGUAAAGGGCGCGUAGGCGGCCAGCACAAGUCAGUUGUGAAAUCUCCGAGCUUAACUCGGAAAGGUCAACUGAUACUGUGCGGCUAGAGUGCGGAAGGGGCAACUGGAAUUCUUGGUGUAGCGGUGAAAUGCGUAGAUAUCAAGAGGAACACCUGCGGCGAAGGCGGGUUGCUGGGCCGACACGUGACGCUGAGGCGCGAAAGCCAGGGGAGCGAACGGG